rnacentral:tRNA from 1 species
CCCUGCGGUAGCUUAGAGGCCCAAAGCGAUCGGCUGUGGACCGGUGAUCGCCAGUUCGAAUCUGGCCCCAGGGACCA